GAUCUUAGGUGGUGCAAUGGGUCAAUCCAUCUGGCUUUGAACCAGAAGGUUGGUGGUUUGAUCCCACCAAGGGACA